UACAGAGGGGGCGAGCGUUAUUCGGAAUUAUUGGGCGUAAAGGGCGCGUAGGCGGCUUUUCAAGUGACGGGUGAAAUCCCUCGGCUUAACCGAGGAACUGCCUGUCAGACUGGAAGGCUUGAGACCGGGAGAGGUGAGUGGAAUUCCCAGUGUAGCGGUGAAAUGCGUAGAUAUUGGGAGGAACACCAGUGGCGAAGGCGGCUCACUGGACCGGUACUGACGCUGAGGCGCGAAAGCGCGGGGAGCAAACAGG
rnacentral:rRNA from 1 species